ACCUGGGUGGCUCAGUUGGUUGAGCAUCUGACUUCGGCUCAGGUCAUGAUCUCACAGUUCGUGGGUUUGAGCCCCGCAUCAGCUC
rnacentral:tRNA from 1 species